UCUAGUGAUGAUGGCAAAGAGGCCACACCCGUUCCCAUCCCGAACACGGAAGUUAAGCUCUUUUGCGCCGAUGGUAGUUGGGGGUUUCCCCCUGUGAGAGUAGGACGUCGCUAGGC
rnacentral:rRNA from 1 species